rnacentral:rRNA from 1 species
ACCCGACUGCUAUAGGGAUAAGACUAAGAUAUGCAAGUCGCACGCCUGUAACUAUGUUCAGGAGUGGCGAACCGCUCAGUAACACGUUGAUAACCUACCCUCAGGACGGGGCCAACUACGGGAAACUGUGGCUAAUCCCCGAUAGACGGCGACGCCUGGAAUGGUCCGUCGUCCAAAGCCAGCUCCGCAUGUGGAGCACGCGCCCGAGGAUGGGUCAGCGGCUGAUUAGGUUGUUGGUGGGGUAAUGGCCCACCAAGCCAUCGAUCAGUACCGGCCGUGAAAGCGGGAACCGGGGGAUGGGCACUGAGACAAAGGCCCAGGCCCUACGGGGCGCAGCAAUCGCGAAACCUCUGCAAUCCGGGCAACCGGGACAGGGUUAUCCCUAGUGCCAUGCUAUCGCGUGGCUUUUGCCGACAGUAGGAACGUCGGAGAAUAAGGA